UUUAUACAGGUGACGCAUACAAAACGCGAGCCACUUAUUGCUGAAGCCAGUACUGCACCUUCACGGCCACAUUCUCAAGAGGUAACAUGAAACGUGCAUGCUUGACCUGCCUUCUGCUGUUAACUUUCGCAGUGCUCACACUAGCAGCCACCUAUCAAGAGGAUACAGAAAUCACCGAUGACACCGUAAUAGAUCCUGCAGCCAGAGUGGACGAGGCGGCCAUGAGUGCACUUGAAAAUCCAGCCAAAGGCGACAAAGAAGAAGGCAGGUCCUUUGAAAACAGUCAUCACUCAGCAUUUCCGCCAAGUAGACGAGGAAAAUCUCCACUUACCUGCAAAGGGCGAAGAUGUUCACGGAAUCGGCCGCUUCGAAGAAUGUGAUGCUCUCUUCGUAAACGACCAUUAAAAGUUUUAGAUGCAGAAAUAAAUCUGCUACUGUCUGGCGUGCUUUCUCAGAUC